rnacentral:pre_miRNA from 1 species
AACAUGCUCCCUCGAUCCGGAAUUACUUGUCACGAAAAAGGAUGUAUCUAGACGUAUUUUAGUUCUAAAGACAUUCAUUUUCUAUUCAUUCCUGCGACAAGUUAUUCUGAACAGAGGGAGUAUUAU